rnacentral:rRNA from 1 species
UGGGGAAUAUUGGACAAUGGGCGAAAGCCUGAUCCAGCCAUGCCGCGUGUGUGAAGAAGGUCUUCGGAUUGUAAAGCACUUUAAGUUGGGAGGAAGGGCAGUAAGCGAAUACCUUGCUGUUUUGACGUUACCGACAGAAUAAGCACCGGCUAACUCUGUGCCAGCAGCCGCGGUAAUACAGAGGGUGCAAGCGUUAAUCGGAAUUACUGGGCGUAAAGCGCGCGUAGGUGGUUCGUUAAGUUGAAUGUGAAAGCCCCGGGCUCAACCUGGGAACUGCAUCCAAAACUGGCGAGCUAGAGUAGGGCAGAGGGUGGUGGAAUUUCCUGUGUAGCGGAGAAAUGCGUAGAUAUAGGAAGGAACACCAGUGGCGAAGGCGACCACCUGAGCUCAUACUGACACUGAGGUGCGAAAGUGUGGGGCGCAAACAGG